UCCCUGGUGGCUCAGUGGUAAGAGAAUCUGCCUGCCAAUGCAGGGGACUGGGGUUCAAUCCCUGGUCUGGGAA
rnacentral:tRNA from 1 species